UACGUAGGGUGCGAGCGUUGUCCGGAAUUAUUGGGCGUAAAGAGCUCGUAGGCGGUCUGUCGCGUCGGUCGUGAAAACUUGGGGCUUAACCCUGAGCUUGCGGUCGAUACGGGCAUGACUGGAGUUCGGCAGGGGAGACUGGAAUUCCUGGUGUAGCGGUGAAAUGCGCAGAUAUCAGGAGGAACACCGGUGGCGAAGGCGGGUUGCUGGGCUGACACUGACGCUGAAGCGCGAAAGCCAGGGGAGCGAACGGG
rnacentral:rRNA from 1 species